GUUUGAGAGUGGCUGGAUAAUCAGACACAGCGGAGCUGUCUCCUCUCUCGGCCUGUUCCUAUCGCUCCUGUAAAGUGAAAGUGACAUGUGACACCCCCGGAAAAUGAUGAACUGACAUGAGGGACGAAAAAGGAAGGAGAGAGUUAGAUGGAGAGAGAAAGACGGAUCGGGGGAGGUGAAGAAAGACAAGGGAAAAAAAGAAGUUAUUUUCUGUGCAGGGUUCAGUGAACCAUAUGGAGGCCCGUUUCAUUCCCCACUGCA